rnacentral:rRNA from 1 species
UGGGGAAUAUUGCACAAUGGAGGGAACUCUGAUGCAGCGACGCCGCGUGAACGAAGAAGGCUUUCGAGUCGUAAAGUUCUUUUAUAUGGGAAGAUAAUAACGGUACCAUAAGAAAAAGCCCCGGCUAACUACGUGCCAGCAGCCGCGGUAAUACGUAGGGGGCUAGCGUUGUCCGGAAUCACUGGGCGUAAAGGGUUCGCAGGCGGAAAUGCAAGUCAGGUGUAAAAGGCAGUAGCUUAACUACUGUAAGCAUUUGAAACUGCAUAUCUUGAGAAGAGUAGAGGUAAGUGGAAUUUUUAGUGUAGCGGUGAAAUGCGUAGAUAUUAAAAAGAAUACCGGUGGCGAAGGCGACUUACUGGGCUCAUUCUGACGCUGAGGAACGAAAGCGUGGGUAGCAAACAGG